UACGAAGGGGGCUAGCGUUGCUCGGAAUCACUGGGCGUAAAGGGUGCGUAGGCGGGUUUUAAGUCAGGGGUGAAAUCCCGGAGCUCAACUCCAGAACUGCCUUUGAUACUGAAGAUCUUGAGUCCGGGAGAGGUGAGUGGAACUGCGAGUGUAGAGGUGAAAUUCGUAGAUAUUCGCAAGAACACCAGUGGCGAAGGCGGCUCACUGGCCCGGUACUGACGCUGAGGCACGGAAAGCGUGGGGAGCAAACAGG
rnacentral:rRNA from 1 species